GAUGAACGCUAGCGGCAGGCUUAACACAUGCAAGUCGAACGGUAAUCCCGGUAGCAAUAUCGGGAACGAGUGGCGCACGGGUGCGUAACACGUAUGCAACUUACCCGCAACUGGGGCAUAGCCCGGAGAAAUCCGGAUUAACUCCCCAUAAAACAGGGGCACCACAUGGUGAUAUUUGUUAAAACUCAGGUGGUUGCGGAUAGGCAUGCGGCCCAUUAGCUAGUUGGUAAGGUAACGGCUUACCAAGGCAACGAUGGGUAGGGGGUCUGAGAGGACGAUCCCCCACACGGGUACUGAGACACGGACCCGACUCCUACGGGAGGCAGCAGUGAGGAAUAUUGGACAAUGGAGGCAACUCUGGUCCAGCCAUGCCGCGUGAAGGAUGAGGGCGCUAUGCGUUGUAAACUUCUUUUCUACGGGAAGAAAAAGUCCGAUUCGUUCGGAUACUGACGGUACUGUAGGAAUAAGCAUCGGCUAACUCCGUGCCAGCAGCCGCGGUAAUACGGAGGAUGC
rnacentral:rRNA from 1 species